GCCUGGGUGGCUCAGUCAGUUGAGCAUCUGACUUCAGCUCAGGUCAUGAUCUCAUGGUUCAUGGGUUCAAGCCCCGUGUCGGGCU
rnacentral:tRNA from 1 species